ensembl:lncRNA
CAGUGGUAAGGUGUUGGGACUCUGCUGAUAGCCAGGUGUAGUAGUGGUAAGGUGUUGGGACUCUGCUGAUAGCCAGGUGUAGCAGUGGUAAGGUGUUGGGACUCCGCUGAUAGCCAGGUGUAGUAGUGGUAAGGUGUUGGGACUCCGCUGAUAGCCAGGUGUAGCAGUGGUAAGGUGUUGGGACUCUGUUGAUAACCAGGUGUAGCAGUGGUAAGGUGUUGGGACUCUGUUGAUAACCAGGUGUAGCAGUGGUAAGGUGUUGGGACUCUGUUGAUAACCAGGUGUAGCAGUGGUAAGGUGUUGGGACUCUGUUGAUAGCCAGGUGUAGUAGUGGUAAGGUGUUGGGAC